rnacentral:rRNA from 1 species
GUCCAGACUCCUACGGGAGGCAGCAGUGGGGGAUAUUGCACAAUGGGGGAAACCCUGAUGCAGCGACGCCGCGUGGGUGAAGAAGCGCCUCGGCGCGUAAAGCCCUGUCAGCAGGGAAGAAAAUGACGGUACCUGAAGAAGAAGCCCCGGCUAACUACGUGCCAGCAGCCGCGGUAAUACGUAGGGGGCAAGCGUUAUCCGGAUUUACUGGGUGUAAAGGGAGCGUAGACGGAAAGGCAAGUCAGAAGUGAAAGCCCAAGGCUCAACCAUGGGACUGCUUUUGAAACUGUCAAACUAGAGUACGGGAGAGGUAAGAGGAAUUCCUAGUGUAGCGGUGAAAUGCGUAGAUAUUAGGAGGAACACCAGUGGCGAAGGCGUCCUGCUGGACUGCAACUGACGUUGAGGCCCGAAAGCGUGGGGAGCAAACAGGAUUAGAUACCCCUGUAC